UACGAAGGGUGCAAGCGUUACUCGGAAUUACUGGGCGUAAAGGGCGCGUAGGCGGUCUGUUAAGUUCGGUGUGAAAGCCCCCGGCUCACCUGGGGAACUGCGCCGGAAACCGACAGACUCGAGUACCGGAGAGGAGGGUGGAAUUCCUGGUGUAGCGGUGAAAUGCGUAGAUAUCGGGAAGAACACCCGUGGCGAAGGCGGUUCUCUGGGACGGUACUGACGCUGAGACGCGAAAGCGUGGGGAGCAAACAGG
rnacentral:rRNA from 1 species